GAACCCUGUCUCAGUUCGGAUUGGAGUCUGCAACUCGACUCCAUGAAGCUGGAUUCGCUAGUAAUCGCGCAUCAGCCAUGGCGCGGUGAAUACGUUCCCGGGCCUUGUACACACCGCCCGUCAAGCCAUGGGAGUCGGGGUACCUGAAGUGCGUAACCGCAAGGAGCGCCCUAGGGUAAAACUGGUGAUUGGGGCUAAGUCGUAACAAGGUACC
rnacentral:rRNA from 1 species